rnacentral:rRNA from 1 species
AAACUGAUAGACUAGAGUAUGGCAGGGGUAGAGGGAAUUUCUAGUGUAGCGGUGAAAUGCGUAGAUAUUAGAAAGAACACCGGUGGCGAAAGCGCUCUACUGGACCAUUACUGACACUCAGAGGCGAAAGCUAGGGUAGCAAAAGGGAUUAGAUACCCCUGUAGUCCUAGCCGUAAACGAUGGAUACUAGAUGUUGUGCUUCAUGUACAGUAUCGUAGCUAACGCGUUAAGUAUCCCGCCUGGGGAGUACGCUCGCAAGGGUGAAACUCAAAGGAAUUGACGGGGGCCCGCACAAGCGGUGGAGCAUGUGGUUUAAUUCGAUGCAACGCGAAGAACCUUACCAGGGCUUGACAUACUACAAAUUUUUUGGAAACAGAAAAGUGCCUUCGGGAAUGUAGAUACAGGUGGUGCAUGGCUGUCGUCAGCUCGUGUCGUGAGAUGUUGGGUUAAGUCCCGCAACGAGCGCAACCCUUAUUUUUAGUUACCAAUUCGUUGGGUUCUCUAGAAAGACUGCCGGUGACAAACCGGAGGAAGGUGAGGAUGACGUCAAGUCAGCAUGCCCCUUAUGUCCUGGGCUACACACGUGCUACAAUGGUUAAGACAAAGAGUCGCUAGCUUGCAAAAGUUUGCUAAUCUCAUAAACUUAGCCUAAGUUCAGAUUGUAGGCUGCAACUCGCCUACAUGAAGUUGGAAUCGCUAGUAAUCGCUGGUCAGCCAUACAGCGGUGAAUCCGUUCCCGGGCCUUGUACACACCGCCCGUCACACCAUGGGAGCUGGUCAUACCCGAAACCGUUAGUUCAACCCUUCGGAGAACGACGUCUAAGGUAGGGCUAGUGACUGGGGUGAAGUCGUAACAAGGUAACCGUA